rnacentral:rRNA from 1 species
UACAGAGAGUGCAAGCGUUAAUCGGAAUUACUGGGCGUAAAGCGCGCGUAGGUGGAUAUGUAAGUCGGAUGUGAAAGCCCUGGGCUUAACCUAGGAAUUGCAUCCGAUACUAUUUAUCUUGAGUAUGGUAGAGGGAAGUGGAAUUUCCGGUGUAGCGGUGAAAUGCGUAGAUAUCGGAAGGAACACCAGUGGCGAAGGCGGCUUCCUGGACCAAUACUGACACUGAGGCGCGAAAGCGUGGGGAGCAAACAGG